rnacentral:lncRNA from 1 species
AUAUUGGGGAUACAUCUGUACUCUGCACAUUCUAAGCCCUGCCUGGUCCUCAGAGUUUUUUUUUUUGGAGGGGGGAGAAAAGGAGAAGAUACUCAAUCUUCACAGAUAAGAACCAGGCAGAACAAGAGGGAGUCUACCUUGUUUUCCCACAGAAAGUCAUCCUUAAAGAAAGACAAGGAGCAAGUAUGGAAGCAGCAGAUUUGACAAAGCACUGUAUGGGACCGAGGCAAUUAUCUGUAUUAUUCAAGCAGAAGAUGAGGAACCUGGAAAUACUAAUAUAUACUUUUGGCCUUUUCCCACCCAUCAGUGCAAAACAAAUCCACAGAAUAAUCAGAAACAUGCGUGGCAACUCAGUGAAGUCAUCAGAGCAUACGAGAAAUGAGCAGCAGACUAGCUCCUGGGUUAGUCAGCUAGUUACGUUAAUUCUACUCAUUGCUAUUUCCUCCUUUUGGGGAAUACAUAAACAUGCCACAAACAUGAACACACACACACACACAUACACACACUCACACACCCUCCCUAGAGCACACUCACAUUAACCUUUUCCUUCUGGCCUGUGCUAACUUGCUCUCUUGGCACAGAUUGAGCAAUUUUGAUGCCAGGAUACAAGGAGAGGCGUCAAAGCCCGGGGCUAGGGCAUUGAACUGGCCUUGUCAGUGGAUUAUUACACAUAAAACUACCUUUCUAAUCACUUUUAAGUCCCAUUAUCUUUAAGAACAUAGUCCCUAGAAAACUUCCUUAAUUUGUAAUAUAUACACCAAUGCACUUAUAUACACACAUGUCACAUAUAUGUAUAUUAUAUGUAUAUGAUUAUAUAUGUAUGUACGUAUUAUCUCAUAUGAUCUUCACAACAACCUUAUGAGGUAGGUGCUAUUAUUAUCUCCAUUUUGUAGAAAAGUAAACUGAAAAUGGAAAAGAUUAAGUGACUUGCCAAGUUCACACAUAUCACAGAGGUUAGGUGACGGGGCCUGGGUCCAGGCAGCUAGCAAAUAUCUGAGGUAGGGCUUGAACUCAGGCCUCCCUGACCACCAGAGCAGUACUCCAUCAACUAUACCACCUAGAUGUCUCUUAAUAAAACCUAUGCCUUAUGAUAAUGUCUGUAAAAC